GACGAACGCUGGCGGCGUGCUUAACACAUGCAAGUCGAACGGAAAGGCCCUGCUCUUGCGGGGUGCUCGAGUGGCGAACGGGUGAGUAACACGUGAGUAUCCUGCCCUUGACUUUGGGAUAACUUCAGGAAACUGGGGCUAAUACCGGAUAGGAGCUCCUGCUGCAUGGUGGGGGUUGGAAAGUUUCGGCGGUUGUGGAUGGACUCGCGGCUUAUCAGCUUGUUAGUGGGGUAGUGGCUUACCAAGGCUUAGACGGGUAGGCGGCCUGAGAGGGGGACCGGCCACAAGAGGACUAAGGGACGGACCAGUCGCCAACGGGAGGCAACGGUGGGAAGUAUUGCGCAGUAAGCGGGAGCCAGUUGCGGCGGCGCCGCGUGCGGAAUAACGGCCUUCGAGUUAUAAACAACUUUCGCAUGUAACAAGGCGUGAGUGACGGUAAUGAAUAAGAAAGCACCGGCUAACUACGUG
rnacentral:rRNA from 1 species